AUUGAACGCUGGCGGCAGGCCUAACACAUGCAAGUCGAGCGGAUGAAGGGAGCUUGCUCCUGGAUUCAGCGGCGGACGGGUGAGUAAUGCCUAGGAAUCUGCCUGGUAGUGGGGGGUAACGUCCGGAAACGGGCGCUAAUACCGCAUACGUCCUGAGGGAGAAGGUGGGGGAUCUUCGGACCUCACGCUAUCAGAUGAGCCUAGGUCGGAUUAGCUAGUUGGUGGGGUAAGGGCCUACCAAGGCGACGAUCCGUAACUGGUCUGAGGGGAGGAUCGGUCCCCGUGAAAGUGAGCCACGACCCAGACCCUGAGGGGAGGCAGCGGCGGCGAAUAUUGGCAAAUGGGGGAAAGCUUGAACAAGCCGUGCAGGGCUGGUGAAGAAGGUCUUCGUAUUGGAAAGCACUUUACGUUGGGAGAAAGGCCAUUAAGUUAAACCAUGCCUGUUUGACGGUAACAAGCAGAGAAGCACCGGCUAACUUCGUG
rnacentral:rRNA from 1 species